GGAUCCAGAUUUGAUUCUGGCUCAGGAUGAACGCUAGCUACAGGCUUAACACAUGCAAGUCGAGGGGCAGCGGGAUUGAAGCUUGCUUCAAUUGCCGGCGACCGGCGCACGGGUGAGUAACGCGUAUCCAACCUUCCGUACACUCAGGGAUAGCCUUUCGAAAGAAAGAUUAAUACCUGAUAGUAUCUUAAGCACACAUGUAAUUAAGAUUAAAGAUUUAUCGGUGUACGAUGGGGAUGCGUUCCAUUAGGUAGUAGGCGGGGUAACGGCCCACCUAGCCAACGAUGGAUAGGGGUUCUGAGAGGAAGGUCCCCCACAUUGGAACUGAGACACGGUCCAAACUCCUACGGGAGGCAGCAGUGAGGAAUAUUGGUCAAUGGACGAGAGUCUGAACCAGCCAAGUAGCGUGAAGGAUGAAGGUCCUACGGAUUGUAAACUUCUUUUAUAAGGGAAUAAACCCUCCCACGUGUGGGAGCUUGUAUGUACCUUAUGAAUAAGCAUCGGCUAACUCCGUGCCAGCAGCCGCGGUAAUACGGAGGAUGCGAGCGUUAUCCGGAUUUAUUGGGUUUAAAGGGAGCGCAGACGGGUCGUUAAGUCAGCUGUGAAAGUUUGGGGCUCAACCUUAAAAUUGCAGUUGAUACUGGCGUCCUUGAGUGCGGUUGAGGUGUGCGGAAUUCGUGGUGUAGCGGUGAAAUGCUUAGAUAUCACGAAGAACUCCGAUUGCGAAGGCAGCACACUAAUCCGUAACUGACGUUCAUGCUCGAAAGUGUGGGUAUCAAACAGGAUUAGAUACCCUGGUAGUCCACACGGUAAACGAUGGAUACUCGCUGUUGGCGAUAUACUGUCAGCGGCUUAGCGAAAGCGUUAAGUAUCCCACCUGGGGAGUACGCCGGCAACGGUGCAACUCAAAGGAAUUGACGG
rnacentral:rRNA from 1 species